CGCAGAGCCAAGCCCUGAGCCUCUGUCCUGAGCUGACGUUCCUUGGCAAGACUAAACAAGGAAGGAGCUCAUCACCAGCACCCAGAAGCCCCCACGAGCCCUUUCCCAACCAUCCUCUACCAUCUCAUCAAUGAAAGGAAUUUCUGCUUUAGGGCCUCAGAACCAUCUUUUGAGUCCUCUCCAUCUGCCUUGCUGACAUGAGAGGGAA